rnacentral:rRNA from 1 species
AACGAACGCUGGCGGCAUGCCUAACACAUGCAAGUCGAACGAGACCUUCGGGUCUAGUGGCGCACGGGUGCGUAACGCGUGGGAACCUGCCUUUAGGUUCGGAAUAACUCAGAGAAAUUUGAGCUAAUACCGGAUGAUGUCUUCGGACCAAAGAUUUAUCGCCUUUAGAUGGGCCCGCGUUGGAUUAGCUAGUUGGUGGGGUAAAGGCCUACCAAGGCGACGAUCCAUAGCUGGUCUGAGAGGAUGAUCAGCCACACUGGGACUGAGACACGGCCCAGACUCCUACGGGAGGCAGCAAUGGGGAAUAUUGGACAAUGGGCGAAAGCCUGAUCCAGCAAUGCCGCGUGAGUGAUGAAGGCCUUAGGGUUGUAAAGCUCUUUUACCCGAGAUGAUAAUGACAGUAUCGGGAGAAUAAGCUCCGGCUAACUCCGUG